UACGAAGGGGGCUAGCGUUGCUCGGAAUUACUGGGCGUAAAGGGCGCGUAGGCGGCGCGCACAGUCAGGCGUGAAAUUCCUGGGCUCAACCUGGGGGCUGCGCUUGAUACGUGCGGGCUAGAGGAUGGAAGAGGCUCGUGGAAUUCCCAGUGUAGAGGUGAAAUUCGUAGAUAUUGGGAAGAACACCGGUGGCGAAGGCGGCGAGCUGGUCCAUUACUGACGCUGAGGCGCGACAGCGUGGGGAGCAAACAGG
rnacentral:rRNA from 1 species